CUACGGAGGGUGCAAGCGUUACUCGGAAUCACUGGGCGUAAAGCGCGCGCAGGCGGGCUGAUAAGUUGGAUGUGAAAGCCUACGGCUCAACCGUAGAAUUGCAUCCAAAACUGUCAGUCUAGAGUCUGGGAGGGGAAGAUGGAAUUAGUUGUGUAGGGGUAAAAUCCGUAGAGAUAACUAGGAAUACCAAAAGCGAAGGAGAUCUGCUGGAACAGUACUGACGCUGAGGCGCGAAAGCGUGGGGAGCAAACAGGAUUAGAAACCCUAGUAGUCC
rnacentral:rRNA from 1 species